CUUUAAAUUAAAUUUUGCCUAUAUAAGGUGUGCACAGAUUGCCUUGAACCAACUGGAAUAUUCUCCGACAUCCCAGCCUACGUGGUUGGGGUUGAGGCGUGGGAAUCGAAAAUUAGGGAGGUGAGGCGCAGGAAAGGCAAAAAUUCGGGCGAGAAAUACCGCCUGCCGCGCGUUGCCGUUCACCAGUGGACGGGACAAAAC